AGAACGAACGCUGGCGGCAUGCCUAACACAUGCAAGUCGGACGCUUUCGGGGGUUUCGGCCUCCGAGGGAGUGGCGGACGGGUGAGUAGCGCGUGGGAACCUGCCCCUUUGUGGGGGAUAACCGAGGGAAACUUCGGCUAAUACCGCAUGCGCCCGGGGGUAACUCCGGGGAAAGAUUUAUCGCAGAGGGAGGGGCCCGCGUCGGAUUAGGUAGUUGGUGGGGUAACGGCCUACCAAGCCGGUGAUCCGUAGCUGGUCUGAGAGGAUGAUCAGCCACACUGGGACUGAGACACGGCCCAGACUCCUACGGGAGGCAGCAGUGGGGAAUAUUGGACAAUGGGCGCAAGCCUGAUCCAGCAAUGCCGCGUGAGUGAUGAAGGCCUUAGGGUUGUAAAGCUCGUUUCGGCGGGGACGAUGAUGACGGUACCCGCGAGAAGAAGCCCCGGCUAACUUCGCGCCAGCAGCCGC
rnacentral:rRNA from 1 species